rnacentral:rRNA from 1 species
CCUACGGGAGGCAGCAGUGGGGAAUAUUGGACAAUGGGCGAAAGCCUGAUCCAGCAAUGCCGCGUGAGUGAUGAAGGCCUUAGGGUUGUAAAGCUCUUUUACCAGGGAUGAUAAUGACAGUACCUGGAGAAUAAGCUCCGGCUAACUCCGUGCCAGCAGCCGCGGUAAUACGGAGGGAGCUAGCGUUGUUCGGAAUUACUGGGCGUAAAGCGUACGUAGGCGGUUAUUCAAGUCAGAGGUGAAAGCCUGGAGCUCAACUCCAGAACUGCCUUUGAAACUAGAUAGCUAGAAUCUUGGAGAGGUGAGUGGAAUUCCGAGUGUAGAGGUGAAAUUCGUAGAUAUUCGGAAGAACACCAGUGGCGAAGGCGACUCACUGGACAAGUAUUGACGCUGAGGUACGAAAGCGUGGGGAGCAAACAGGAUUAGAUACCCUGGUAGUCCACGCCGUAAACGAUGAUAACUAGCUGUUCGGGCUCUACGAGCUUGAGUGCGCAGCUACGCAUUAAGUUAUCCGUCCGUGGGAGGUACGGUCGCAGAUAAACUACAAGAAGUAGAGCGNGAGAGUGCCGAACGGACGACGACGAGGGAGGAGG